CUUGCAAUAUUCCUGCCUCAGCCUCCCACUUCUGAGAUUAUAGGCCAAUCCUGGCUCUAAUUUUAUUUUUUUGAGGAGUCGUCUUAUGUUUCCCAGCUGACUUUGAACUCCUGGGCUCAAGUGAUCUUCCUGUUCCUCCUCCCAGAUAACAGGGUCUCUGAGCUGGUGCAAGCUGGUUCCAGCCACCACUCUGGCAGCCAGUGUGUUCUUGUGGAGCCUGCAGUCACCUGGUUUGAGCUUCCUAAGGCCUGGCACCUGUUCUGCUCUCGCCAGGAUGCAGCACGAAAGGUCAUCCAGCCGGCCAGAAGGAGAGGCAGCUGGGAACGGCCACUCUGCUCACAGCGUGUUGUAACAUCAGCACCUGGGGUGAGAAAAGAGACCCCCCCCCAAUCCUCUGCCCUGCUGUGUCCCAGAACCUAGGCCGAACUACCCUUCCUCAGUUUUGGCCCACUUCUCUCCACUGCAGCCACAGCCUUGAGGACAGGUGGCUCCUACUCUAGAAGGAGCCAGUGCACCACCCAGCUGUGACACAGGGACCGUCCUACCCAUUCUGCUGUGCAGGCACAAGGCCCACUGGGGGACCAAAGUGCACGUUGCUGGUAUUUUCCCUUCUCUCCUUUGUCUCCCGUCUCCACACCCUCGGUCCCCACAGGAUCACUCUGAUGCUGUUGUGUGAGGCUCCUCAUUCACCUUGGCCCAGGGACGACUGGCUGUGUGGGAGAACCAAGACCCGGAAGAUCACUGGAACAGUAGGUGCACAAUGAGGAGGGUCACUGAUGAGACCCUGGCAACACCCAACCUGAGGUCCCCUUAUUAUAAGGUAGGGGAAACUAUCAUAGGCGGUCAGAGACAGGGCUAGGCCCUCGGGAGAGUCAGACAAAGGUAAAAACACAUUUCAACUGCGGCCUGAAGUGCAUCUGUCGGAGGCCAGGCCUCAAGAUAAAGAGGAAAUGACCAGAACUGAGGUAAGUGCUAGCACCUGGUCUAAUGAAGUCUAGGUGGGCAUCAGUCAGCCAGGUGGGUGACCAAACCCUCAGACUCAUUCUUUCCUGAAAAGUUCUUUGUUACUUCCAUGUAU